rnacentral:rRNA from 1 species
AUUGAACGCUGGCGGCAUGCUUUACACAUGCAAGUCGAACGGUAACAGGCCGCAAGGUGCUGACGAGUGGCGAACGGGUGAGUAAUGCAUCGGAACGUGCCCAGUCGUGGGGGAUAACUACUCGAAAGAGUAGCUAAUACCGCAUACGAUCUAUGGAUGAAAGCGGGGGACCGUAAGGCCUCGCGCGAUUGGAGCGGCCGAUGUCAGAUUAGGUAGUUGGUGGGGUAAAGGCUCACCAAGCCAACGAUCUGUAGCUGGUCUGAGAGGACAACCAGCCACAGGGGGAGUGAGAGCGCGCCAAGCCCCCUCGGGGGGCGGCGGUGGGGGAUUUUGGGACAAGGGGGGCAGGCUUGCCCCUGAAAUCCGGCGUGAAGAAAGAGCCCUUUGGGUUUGAAAACUUUUUUUAGAGGAAACAAAGGGGUUGUGUUAAACCCCGGGGUCAAAGAGGGAACCGGAAAAAAAAGGCCCGGGCUAGCUAGGCC